UAUCAGGGGAAUAAGGAUCUCCAUUGAAGAAGUCAGGAACUACAACAUAGAAUCCAGCAGCUGCAAUCUUGUCAGCUAACUUCCUGCAUGAUAGAUAUUAGUUGGCAUCAGGUCUCAAAUGCUGUCAUUAGCAUGAAAAAUAAUAGCAAACUACAUAGACAGUAGACACACACAUGACAAACAGUAGAUCAUUCUUUUUGAGCUCACAGAAGGAAAUGAAGAAAUUAGGUUUUAGAGGUAUAAAAAGGUGUAACACAUGGAUUAUGGAGGUAGACUUUGCCUCCCAGCAUGCAGGCAUGAACAUAUCCAGAUAAAACACAAAGAAC
rnacentral:misc_RNA from 1 species